GGACUCCUAGGGAUGUUGCCCCUUACAUGCUAUUUAUUGAGCUCAUUGGAUGCCUGGGACCUGCAUACUUUGUGCAAGCCUGGAUGACAGAGCAACUCACAGAACCAAGGUGCCCAGAAGUGCCCCAUGGCUGCUACCACCACAUGGCAACCCACGGGCUGGGAACAGCAGCCACGGGGAUGGAUGGACACUGGAAACCUCUUGGCCAAGGCAUGCAUAUCCUCCUUCACCUUGAACCGUGCCAAACGCUCAGAUAGUAUCAGGAAUUAGACCACUCCUUAAGGCUCCCUCAAUAGGUGCACGAAGACUUCUCCAGCUGGUGUUGUCACACAAGGCAAAACACUGUUCCAGAACACUCAGUCCAUCUGCAACUGCAGGUCCCCCAGGAAUUUAUUGUGAGAAGCUGGAAGGUCAUCCUUGAAUGCAACUCUAGUCAAAGGACACGACUUAAUGUAAGAUGUAGCACUCAUGGUUGGGUCUCAGGGGGGGACUUUAAAUAGGUGUCAAUCUCACAACAAACAGCAGCACAGUGGGGAGCCCUUGGCUGCCCAUGGGCACCAGAAACAAAUGAAUGAAGAGUAUGUCUCAGCAGAAGCAGUGGUCUGAAGACCCAUCAGGUCUAAAACUUCACACAUACAAAUGGCAGACAGUAGAGAUUUAAACAUG
rnacentral:lncRNA from 1 species